GCUCGUAGUUGGAUUUCGGGCGUGGAGGUUCGGUCCGCCGUUUCGGUGUGCACUGUCUUUCUGCGUCUUUCUGUCGGGGACGCGCUUCUGGCCUUAAUUGGCUGGGACGUGGAUUCGACGAGGUUACUUUGAAAAAAUUAGAGUGUUCAAAGCAAGCUAAAGCUCUGAAUACAUUAGCAUGGAAUAACGCGAGAGGACUCGGUCCUUAUUUUGUUGGUCUUCAAGGAUGGAGUAAUGAUUAAGAGGGACAGUUGGGGGCAUUCGUAUUUCAUUGCUAGAGGUGAAAUUCUUGGAUUUAUGAAAGACGAACUUCUGCGAAAGCAUUUGCCAAGGAUGUUUUCAUUGAUCAAGAACGAAAGUUGGGGGCUCGAAGAUGAUCAGAUACCAUCCUAGUCUCAACCAUAAACGAUGCCGACUAGGGAUUGGCAGGUGUUACAUCGAUGACUCUGCCAGCACCUUAUGAGAAAUCAAAGUUUUUGGGUUCCGGGGGGAGUAUGGUCGCAAGGCUGAAACUUAAAGGAAUUGACGGAAGGGCCCCACCAGGAGUGGAGCCUGCGGCUUAAUUUGACUCGACACGGGGAAACUUACCAGGUCCAGACAUAGUAAGGAUUGACAGAUUGAGAGCUCUUUCUUGAUUCUAUGGGUGGUGGUGCAUGGCCG
rnacentral:rRNA from 1 species